GGUCCUGCCUGCCCUGUGACCCCUGGUUCAACGGCCGCGGUAUUUUGACCGUGCAAAGGUAGCGCAAUCACUUGUCUCUUAAAUGAGGACCUGUAUGAAUGGCACAACGAGGGCUUAACUGUCUCCUUUCCCUGGUCAGUGAAAUUGAUCUUCCCGUGCAGAAGCGGGAAUCCUAACAUAAGACGAGAAGACCCUAUGGAGCUUUAGACUUCAGAACAGAUCAUGUAAGCUACCCCCAUGAAAUGGGUAAUAACUAUUGAACUCCUGUUCCCCUGUCUUUGGUUGGGGCGACCACGGGGAAGAAAAAAACCCCCAUGUGGACCAGGAGCACACUACUCCUACAACCAUGAGCCACAGCUCUAAUGCACAAAAUCUUUGACCAUUAGAUCCGGCAAAGCCGAUCAACGGACCAAGUUACCCUAGGGAUAACAGCGCAAUCCCCUUUAAGAGUCCAUAUCGACAAGGGGGUUUACGACCUCGAUGUUGGAUCAAGACAUCCUAAUGGUGCAGCCGCUAUUAAGGGUUCGUUUGUUCAACGAUUAAAGUCUU
rnacentral:rRNA from 1 species